UACGUAGGGGGCAAGCGUUGUCCGGAUUUAUUGGGCGUAAAGAGCUUGUAGGCGGCUUUACAGGUCCGUUGUGAAAACUCGAGGCUCAACCUCGAGACGCCGGUGGAAACCGUAAAGCUAGAGUCCGGAAGAGGAGAGUGGAAUUCCUGGUGUAGCGGUGAAAUGCGCAGAUAUCAGGAAGAACACCCGUGGCGAAGGCGGCUCUCUGGGACGGUACUGACGCUGAGACGCGAAAGCGUGGGGAGCGAACAGG
rnacentral:rRNA from 1 species